rnacentral:rRNA from 1 species
AUUGAACGCUGGCGGCAUGCCUUACACAUGCAAGUCGAACGGUAACAGGUCUUCGGAUGCUGACGAGUGGCGAACGGGUGAGUAAUACAUCGGAACGUGCCUAGUAGUGGGGGAUAACUACUCGAAAGAGUGGCUAAUACCGCAUGAGAUCUACGGAUGAAAGCAGGGGAUCGCAAGACCUUGUGCUACUAGAGCGGCCGAUGGCAGAUUAGGUAGUUGGUGGGGUAAAGGCUCACCAAGCCAACGAUCUGUAGCUGGUCUGAGAGGACGACCAGCCACACUGGGACUGAGACACGGCCCAGACUCCUACGGGAGGCAGCAGUGGGGAAUUUUGGACAAUGGGGGCAACCCUGAUCCAGCAAUGCCGCGUGCAGGAAGAAGGCCUUCGGGUUGUAAACUGCUUUUGUACGGAACGAAACGGUCUGGGUUAAUACCCUGGGCUAAUGACGGUACCGUAAGAAUAAGCACCGGCUAACUACGUGCCAGCAGCCGCGGUAA